rnacentral:rRNA from 1 species
AAACUUUACAAUGCGGGAAACCGUGAUAAGGGGACACCGAGUGCUAGCAUCAUAUGCUGGCUGUCCAGGUGUGUAAAAUACACCUGUUAGCAAGGGCCGGGCAAGACCGGUGCCAGCCGCCGCGGUAACACCGGCGGCCCGAGUGGUGAUCGUGAUUAUUGGGUCUAAAGGGUCCGUAGCCGGUUUGGUCAGUCCUCCGGGAAAUCUGAUAGCUCAACUAUUAGGCUUUCGGGGGAUACUGCCAGGCUUGGAACCGGGAGAGGUAAGAGGUACUACAGGGGUAGGAGUGAAAUCUUGUAAUCCCUGUGGGACCACCUGUGGCGAAGGCGUCUUACCAGAACGGGUUCGACGGUGAGGGACGAAAGCUGGGGGCACGAACCGGAUUAGAUA